AUGCUCGGCACGAAGCUGUGGCCUGUGGUCAUCAUGUCGGCACUGCCCAGCUUUGCGCUCCUCCGGCUCGCUAGCUUGAUUGCCAUGCUGGUGCAACAAGCUCGUUUGCUCCCAGUGGCUGUGGCGCGGACCAAUCUGACUGCGGGGGAUACCUUGAGGCCGCCCGACUGCAUCACCAGCCCGUCCGGCGGGUUUGCCUUCGGUUUCCGUGCCCACGACUCCGAUCCGACCAAGUUCCUCCUCGCCACAUGGUUCCGCUUCGGUGAAGGCAACUCUUCCCCACAGUCGGUGGUGUGGUUUGCAAAAGCGUCCUCCAUGGGCGCCACGCCCAACGCCAGGGCGCGGUCCGUCCUCAGCAUCCCGGCCGAUGGCCAGCUCAUGCUCACCGAUGGCAGCGUAGAGCUGUGGAAGGCCCCAACCCCCAGCAUGAAGCGUGGAUUCGUCCUCGUGCUAAGAGACUCCGGAAAUGUCCAGUUCCUCGGAGAUGGCGGCAUGCUCUGGGAGAGCUUUGGAUUCCCGACAGACACGCUCCUGUCGGGGCAAUCUUUGCAGGGGUUUCUCUUCUCCAAGCGCGCGGACACAGAGUUCACCACUGGUCGGUUCAGCCUGGCUGCCCAAAACGACGGUAACGUCGUCCUCUGCGUCGACCUCUUCACCGGUAACAUAUUGGAAAACGCAUACUGGGAUACGCGCACCAACGGCCCCAAUGGCAACACAACUAUCACCUUCGACGAGCGUGGCAACCUCAGCUACACACUCUACGAUGGCACCGUCCACAGCUUGAUUUCUCCCGUCGCCGCCGACAGGAACUACUUCCAGUUCGUCAGGAUGGACCCCGACGGCAUCGUCCGUGCCUACGUCCGCCCUAAGAACGGUGACGGCCGCGAGAACACAACAUCUUGGACCAUGUCGGGCACGCUCCCUAGUGAAGGGGGCUGCAAGAUGAAGACGACCAGGAUGCAAGGCAUGUGCGGCCCCGGGUCUUACUGUGUGGAGACCAAAGAACGGCUCAAGUGCCUGAGCCCGAGCGGGUACACUUAUAUCGACGCGCAGCACAGCGACAGCGGCUGCACGCCAGAGUUGGAGCCGCAGAGCUGUGGCGAGCAGAACAACCCCGACAAGUUCUCGCUCGUAGAGCUGCCAAACACCACUUGGGAGGUGUCAAUAUACUACAAGAAGUUCCCGUCAGUCUCGGAGGAGCAAUGCCGGGAUUACUGCCUCAGCGACUGCUUCUGCGUGGCCGCGCUGAUGAUCGGUGGGUCCGACUGUGCAGAGUUGGGGGCACUCGCGUAUGGACGGCAGGGAAACAACCUGACGACAAAGGCGCUGAUCAAGGUACGGACAAGGAAUUCUCAGGUGAUUACGUCAGCAAGAAUGAGAAAUGUACUGGCCAACAAGGUUGUGGCCAUUUGCUUGGGCAUUCUUUUGUUGAUCACAGUCGGUGGCCACCGACUUCUGGCACAUCAUUACCUCGUCAGGAACAGAGAUAGCCAGAGGUUGUUGAGCUCGAGCGUAAGAGCAUUCAGCUGGAAGGAGCUUUACCAAGCCACCAAUGGCUUCGAGAAACUGCUGGGCAAAGGGAGCUUCGGGGAGGUCUACAAAGGAACGAUAAGAUCACCGCAGCCGCAUCUCAUCGCAGUGAAGAAGCUCAUCGACUCAAACGAGUAUAGCGAGCAGGAGUUCACGAACGAGGUACAGUCCAUCGGGCAGAUCCACCACCGGAACUUGGUCCGUAUGAUCGGCUACUGCAAAGAAGGCAAGCACCGGAUGCUGGUUUUCGAGUUCAUGCCAGGCGGGUCGCUCCGUGGCGUCCUCUUCAACCCAGAGAGGCGGCCUUCGUGGCGCUGGCGUGCUGUAGCCGCCCUUGCCAUCGCCCGGGGGCUUGAGUACCUCCACGAUGGCUGCAGCGCACCGAUCAUCCAUUGCGACAUCAAGCCCGACAACAUCCUGCUGGACGACCGUGGAGUCCCGAGGAUCACCGACUUUGGGAUCUCCAAGCUACUGGGGAGCCAGCAGGUGCACACAACAGUGACCCACAUCAGGGGCACCAGAGGGUACAUUGCGCCCGAGUGGCUCCGCAGCGACGCGCGCGUGGAUACCAAGGCGGAUGUGUACAGCUUCGGCGUCGUGCUGCUGGAGAUGAUCUGCUGCCGGAGGUGUCAGGAGCCGGUGUCUCAUCCUGACUUGCCACAGGGUGAGGAGGAGGAUGAUGAGACGGUCACGUUGUUCGGUUGGGCAGCGCAGCUGGUGGCCACGCAGAGGACAGAGCUGAUGCUGCACGGCAAUGCUGACGUAGACACUGUUGAGGACAUGGAGAGGGUGGAGCGGUUCACGCGCGUGGCGCUCUGGUGCAUCGAGCCAAACCCGCUGCUGCGGCCAACCAUGCACCAGGUGGUGCAGAUGCUGGAGACCAAUGACCCGGCUCAGCUUCAGGCACUGCCGCACCACCCUCCAGACUGUUAUAUGGAAUCCUCGCCUUUAAUUCCUCAGCUCAAGAUGGCAUGUUAG
rnacentral:rRNA from 1 species